AGAUGGCGACCGGCGCACGGGUGAGUAACACGUAUCCAACCUGCCGAUAACUCGGGGAUAGCCUUUCGAAAGAAAGAUUAAUACCCGAUGGUAUAAUCAGACCGCAUGGUUUGAUUAUUAAAGAAUUUCGGUUAUCGAUGGGGAUGCGUUCCAUUAGGCAGUUGGUGAGGUAACGGCUCACCAAACCUUCGAUGGAUAGGGGUUCUGAGAGGAAGGUCCCCCACAUUGGUACUGAGACACGGACCAA
rnacentral:rRNA from 1 species